AUGAUGCGCCCCAAGGAUCAGGCACUAGUGGAAUUAUGUGACCCAGAAAGGCUCCAGGUGUGUCUGAGGCUUCAAAGCCUGCCGAUGCUCUCUCUGGCGCUCAGAGCCCUCACCAUGUUGUCAGAGAGACCUAAGAUGGGAAGAAAAUUGUUCUUCCUGCUGCCGGACGUGAUGAAUACACUGCUGUAUGACAACACACACAUCACUGAGAAGGCCCUGACUGUCUUCGAAAACGUGAUCGGUCAUCUGGAGAAGAGGGAGGCCAGCCCCAUCGCUCUGGCACUGGCUGAGAGACUCCUGCCUCUUUUUAACAACGUAAGGCUGCUGUGGGUGACUGAGCCCUGCAGACGGGCACUCCGCAAUGGCGUUGCCCUUCAGCCCAGGCCUGUGGGCAGCACUCGGGCAGGGCCUUCUUCUCUCUCUGCUCCUCUGGGCACUUGUGGGCAGCACUCGGGCAGGGCCUUCUUCUCUCUCUGCUCCUCUGGGCACUUGUGGGCUGUCUUCUGGGCUCUGCAGUCCAACAGGGCUUCUCCCUGUCAGGUUGACAACUCAGCACAGUCAAAAGUUCCCUGUGCUGAGGCAGAAAGGCAGAAGCUGAGGAGACAGAGUGUGCCCCAGAAGCCUUAUCGAAGGCCAGCCAUAUAUCCUCCUCAGCCCUUUCCUUGGGUGAGCUGUACUUUGACAUGGCUGGUGCAGCUAGUAGUAAAAGUGGGCUGGCUUGGAGCACACUCUACGGUACAGGCACCCCGUGCAGGAAACCUGUUAGUUUGCCUUGUGUGGGCCUCCAGCUCCUUUGUUCGCAAUACAAGGCUUCACCCUUCACAUCAGCCACCCUACGGCCCUUGCUCCCCAUGGGCAGGGGAGGCUGGCAGUUGCUGAAAUCCUCCUUUUGUCCUCCUUAGCAGGUGUCCAGUGAGGUGCGGGAGCGCUCCAUGCUCCUCUUCAAAGACCUGAUGGAGUCUGUGGUGUGGUGGAAAAAAGGAGCAAUGAAAACGACCGUGCGCAGGGCCCUUAUUCCACUGUUGUUCCGGAUGAGUGACGAGACUCAGAGCGUGGCCAAGGUACAGAUUUCACACCUGGCCGUUGAUGUGGGCACUGGGUGUGCUGACACCAGAGGGGUAUUCUGGGCAUGGGGGGGGGCAGGGCAGCAGGCAAUCAGACACUUUAGAGAUGUGUGUGCGGUGCCAUCUCCCUGCCUCUGCUUCUCCACAGGCCUCUGCAGUAGUCCUACUUGCCUGUGCAAAGUUCCUGAAGUGGAAACAGCUUGAGCAGCUGACUCAGACUGAGGACAUCUGGAGGAUUUGGGAGUACUUGGUAAGGAGAACCGCCCAGCCCCAACCCCAGAUGGACAAGCCUGCCCGACAUGCCCAGGCUGCUGCAGCCCAGAGCCCACCAGUUGCAGCUGCAUUGUGGCUCCCUUCCCUCCAGCACAGAGCCCCGGGGGGGCUCUUCUGCAGGCCCCUUGACCCUCCCCUCCCCCGAUGCUGGAGGAGACCCUAGCUCAUCUGGGCCUUGGCAGCGGGACAGAAGGGUCUCCUAACUCUCUCCAAACCUCGGCCCCACAGAGCUCCUGGCUGGGAGCUGGGGAUGGCCUGGGGGAAAGGGGGAGGGGGGUGCUGGCAGGAGGGACUGGUCCGGCUGGCUGGGGAGGGUAUGUGAGCCCCGCGCCCUUGUGCUUUCUCCAGCUCAAGCAGAAGAGCAGCAGGGUGGACGAAUACCUGCAGCAGAGCCUGCCAUACCUGGAGGAUGCUCAGGCCAACUUGCGACAGGAGGCUGUCAAAUUCAUCGGUGAGUCCAGGCCCCGCUUCCCUGUCUGGGCCCUGCCCUGGCAGCAAGGCGCAGCCCUGUGGGCCCUGAAGCCCCUGAUUGUAGCCCCAGG
rnacentral:lncRNA from 1 species